rnacentral:rRNA from 1 species
UACCUACGGGGGGCUGCAGUGGGGAAUCUUGCGCAAUGGGCGAAAGCCUGACGCAGCAACGCCGCGUGCGGGAUGACGGCCUUCGUGGUUGUAAACCGCUUUCAGCAGGGACGAAAAUGACGGUACCUGCAGAAGAAGCUCCGGCUAACUACGUGCCAGCAGCCGCGGUAAUACGUAGGGGGCGAGCGUUGUCCGGAUUCAUUGGGCGUAAAGAGCUCGUAGGCGGUUCAGUAAGUCGGGUGUGAAAGCUCCGAGCUCAACUCGGAGAGGCCACCCGAGACUGCUGUGACUCGAGUCCAGUAGAGGAGCGUGGAACUCCUGGUGUAGCGGUGAAAUGCGCAGAUAUCAGGAAGAACACCGGUAGCGAAGGCGGCGCUCUGGGCUGGUACUGACGCUGAGGAGCGAAAGCGUGGGUAGCAAACAGGAUUAGAUACCCCGGUAGUCUCU